AACGCUAGCUACAGGCUUAACACAUGCAAGUCGAGGGGUAACGAGAGGGAAGCUUGCUUUUCUUGUUGACGACCGGCGCACGGGUGAGUAACGCGUAUCCAACCUGCCUAUAACUAGGGAAUAACCUUGCGAAAGUAAGACUAAUACCCUAUGAUUUCCUUUGAUGACAUCAGAUUAGGAAUAAAGAUUUAUCGGUUAUAGAUGGGGAUGCGUCUGAUUAGCUUGUUGGCGGGGUAACGGCCCACCAAGGCAACGAUCAGUAGGGGUUCUGAGAGGAAGGUCCUCCACAUUGGAACUGAGACACGGUCCAAACUCCUACGGGAGGCAGCAGUGAGGAAUAUUGGUCAAUGGGCGGAAGCCUGAACCAGCCAAGUAGCGUGCAGGAUGACGGCCCUAUGGGUUGUAAACUGCUUUUAUACAGGAAUAAAGUUAGCCACGUGUGGUUAUUUGUAGGUACUGUAUGAAUAAGGACCGGCUAAUUCCGUGCCAGCAGCCGCGGUAAUACGGAAGGUCCAGGCGUUAUCCGGAUUUAUUGGGUUUAAAGGGAGCGUAGGCCGUCUGUUAAGCGUGUUGUGAAAUGUAGAUGCUCAACAUCUGAAUUGCAGCGCGAACUGGCAGACUUGAGUGUGCGCAACGUAGGCGGAAUUCGUGGUGUAGCGGUGAAAUGCUUAGAUAUCACGAAGAACUCCGAUUG
rnacentral:rRNA from 1 species